rnacentral:tRNA from 1 species
GGUAAGAUAGGCUAUAAACUAUAAGCCUCUAGACUCAUGCUCUAGAGAAAUGAGAAAUCAUUCUUUCCA